GAUGAACGCUGGCGGCGUGCCUAAUACAUGCAAGUCGAGCGAAUGGAUUAAGAGCUUGCUCUUAUGAAGUUAGCGGCGGACGGGUGAGUAACACGUGGGUAACCUGCCCAUAAGACUGGGAUAACUCCGGGAAACCGGGGCUAAUACCGGAUAACAUUUUGAACCGCAUGGUUCGAAAUUGAAAGGCGGCUUCGGCUGUCACUUAUGGAUGGACCCGCGCCGCAUUAGCUAGUUGGUGAGGAAACGGCUCACCAAGGCAACGAUGCGUAGCCGACCUGAGAGGGUGAGCGGGCACACUGGGACUGAAGCACGGCCCAGAUGCCUACGGGGGGCAGCAGUAGGGAAUCUUCCGCAAUGGACGAAAGUCUGACGGAGCAACGCCGCGUGAGUAAUGAAGGCUUUCGGGUCGUAAAACUCUGUUGUUAGGGAAGAACAAGUGCUAGUUGAAUAAGCUGGCACCUUGACGGUACCUAACCAGAAAGCCACGGCUAACUACGUGCCAGCCGCCGCCGUAA
rnacentral:rRNA from 1 species